GAAAGAUUCAUCGGAAGAGGAUGGGCAUGCGGCGCAUUAGCUAGACGGCGGGGUAACGGCCCACCGUGGCGACGAUGCGUAGGGGUUCUGAGAGGAAGGUCCCCCACACUGGUACUGAGACACGGACCAGACUCCUACGGGAGGCAGCAGUGAGGAAUAUUGGUCAAUGGGAGAGAUCCUGAACCAGCCAAGCCGCGUGAGGGAAGACGGCCCUAUGGGUUGUAAACCUCUUUUGUCGGAGAACAAAACCCGGGACGUGUCCCGGACUGCGUGUAUCCGAAGAAAAAGCAUCGGCUAACUCCGUGCCAGCAGCCGCGGUAAUACGGAGGAUGCGAGCGUUAUCCGGAUUUAUUGGGUUUAAAGGGUGCGUAGGCGGUCUGUUAAGUCAGCGGUAAAAUUGCGGGGCUCAACCCCGUCGAGCCGUUGAAACUGGCAGACUUGAGUUGGCGAGAAGUACGCGGAAUGCGCGGUGUAGCGGUGAAAUGCAUAGAUAUCGCGCAGAACUCCGAUUGCGAAGGCAGCGUACCGGCGCCAGACUGACGCUGAGGCACGAAAGCGUGGGGAUCGAACGGGAUUAGAUACCCUGGUAGUCCACGCAGUAAACGAUGAAUGCUGGUUGUCCGGGUCGAAUGAGACCUGG
rnacentral:rRNA from 1 species